rnacentral:rRNA from 1 species
AACGAACGCUGGCGGCAUGCCUAACACAUGCAAGUCGAACGAGACCUUCGGGUCUAGUGGCGCACGGGUGCGUAACGCGUGGGAAUCUGCCCUUGGGUGCGGAAUAACAGUUAGAAAUGACUGCUAAUACCGCAUAAUGACUCCGGUCCAAAGAUUUAUCGCCCAAGGAUGAGCCCGCGUCGGAUUAGCUAGUUGGUGAGGUAAAAGCUCACCAAGGCGACGAUCCGUAGCUGGUCUGAGAGGAUGAUCAGCCACACUGGGACUGAGACACGGCCCAGACUCCUACGGGAGGGAGCAGUGGGGAAUAUUGGACAAUGGGCGAAAGCCGGAUCCAGCAAUGCCGCGUGAGUGAUGAAGGCCUUAGGGUUGUAAAGCUCUUUUACCCGGGAUGAUAAUGACAGUACCGAGAGAAUAAGCCCCGGCUAACUCCGUGCCAGCCGCCGCGGUAACAC